ensembl:lncRNA
AGAAGGAACAGGCUGCCGAGCUUCUCAUCCUCCCCGCUCUCAAAAGGCAAUUGGUUCAUACAGGCAGCCAAUCUGAGAAGGAUUCAGAGAAACAGGAUCUGAAAACCAGGCUUGCUGAUAAAAAAGAAGGAAACAAAAGGCAUGCCACUGUCAAGAAUGGGCAGGAAGGGACUUGAGGUUGGCAAGAGGGUGAGGCAGAGGCGGGUCCAUCCCUAGGACAUCCCACCUCUCAGAGAUGUCACCACGGGACGCUCCUGUCAGGCCAGUGCUGUACAUGACCCAUCUGAACGACUGCCUCAGGCCAUCAGUAUUAACUUCCCUAAGGUGAAGUUCCAACAGAAGAAAAAGAGCUAAGCAUGCCUGGGACCUCAUUUUGUGCAGAAUUGACCACAGCCAAACAGCUUUAAUCAGACUGCAAGAACACCACUAUUGAGGGCUCCAUCGUGCACUUGGAGCACAAAGUCACCACCAGAGAGAGCACUUCCAAAACUCCUGCAACUACAUAAAUCUGGGAUUCAGGUGCUGAGAAAGACAAUAGAGUCCUGCAGACUUCAUGGAAUGGUAACAGGGAGAAGAAGAGGACCCAAAUUAUUGCCCAAAGGAGAGGAGAG